GGGAAUGUGGUUCAGAUGGUAGAGCACAUGCCUAGCAAGCACAAAGCCCUGAGUUAAAAUCUCAGUGCUGCCA
rnacentral:tRNA from 1 species